GUGAAAAUCCUCAAGGCUGAGCAGUGCCUGCCUGGGCUCUGCCCUGGUGGCAGCUGGGAUGCAUAAAAUCCAUGCAGGUUUCUCCGAGGACCUUGGAGCGUGUCCCCAAAACAAAGCACUCUGCAGUGGGAGAAGUGAGGAAGUGAGAGAAACUAAGCUACAUCCUGCAAGACUGGACUGGAGGAAGUUUGAGCCUUCUCAGUGAACUUAAGCUUUUCUGCCACGAGGGACUGGUGGAAGAAGGUUAGGAAAAUCAUCAGUUCAGAAAAGAUUCCUCCAGAUGUGAAGUCUGAUGUCAGUCAGCUUCAGAGAAAUAGCAGCAGCUGAGCUGAGAACCUGCAAGCAAGUGUCAGACACUUCUUGCCAUGGCAUCACCAAAUCAGGCUUCCCUCAUCACCACAGAGGUGAGACAGCUCAACCCUUACUCCUCUCCUGUCUGAAACUCCAGCUGGAAGAGCAGCCCUUCCCUGCUUGAGAAGCACAUGAGACAGACUCAG
rnacentral:lncRNA from 1 species